UACGUAGGGUGCAAGCGUUGUCCGGAAUUAUUGGGCGUAAAGAGCUCGUAGGCGGUCUGUCGCGUCUGCUGUGAAAACUCGGGGCUUAACCCCGGGCCUGCAGUGGGUACGGGCAGACUAGAGUGCGGUAGGGGAGACUGGAAUUCCUGGUGUAGCGGUGAAAUGCGCAGAUAUCGGGAGGAACACCAGUGGCGAAGGCGGCGAUCUGGGAAGAUACUGACGCUGAGGUGCGAAAGCGUGGGGAGCAAACAGG
rnacentral:rRNA from 1 species